rnacentral:rRNA from 1 species
ACGGGAGGCAGCAGUGGGGAAUAUUGGGCAAUGGGGGAAACCCUGACCCAGCAACGCCGCGUGAAGGAAGAAGGCUUUCGGGUUGUAAACUUCUUUUACCAGGGACGAAGGACGUGACGGUACCUGGAGAAAAAGCCACGGCUAACUACGUGCCAGCAGCCGCGGUAAUACGUAGGUGGCAAGCGUUAUCCGGAAUUACUGGGUGUAAAGGGAGCGCAGGCGGGAUAGCAAGUCAGCGGUGAAAUGUAUGGGCUUAACCCAUGAACUGCCGUUGAAACUGUUAUUCUUGAGUGGAGUAGAGGCGGGCGGAAUUCCGAGUGUAGCGGUGAAAUGCGUAGAUAUUCGGAGGAACACCAGUGGCGAAGGCGGCCUGCUGGGCUCUAACUGACGCUGAGGCUCGAAAGUGUGGGGAGCAAACAGGAUUAAAUACCCUGGUA